GACGAACGCUGGCGGCGUGCCUAAUGCAUGCAAGUCGCACGCGGCACCUUCGGGUGCUGAGUGGCGAACGGCUGAGGAACACGUGGGGACCUGUCCGGGAGUGGGGGACAACACCGCGAAAGCGGUGCUAAUCCCGCAUACGCUCUGAGGAGGAAAGCCGAAAGGCGCUCCCGGGUGGCCCUGCGGCCCAUCAGGUUGUUGGUGGGGUAACGGCCUACCAAGCCAAUGACGGGUCGCUGGUCUGUGAGGACGACCAGCCAGACUGGGACGGGGACACGGCCCAGACCCCCACGGGGGGGAGAAGGAAGGAAUUUUCGGAAAGGGGCGAAACCCUGCCCGGCCAACGCCGGGUGCAGGAAGCCGGCUUUGGGGUUGAAAACUGCUUUUGCUAGGGAUGAAAACAGAAAGUACCGGGGAAAUCCCCCCCGGCGAACUCUG
rnacentral:rRNA from 1 species